GACAGAGGUCCCAAGCGUUAGGCGGAAUCACUGGGCUUAAGGCGUGUGUAGGCGGAUCCGUAAGUACCUUGUGAAAUCCCACGGCUCAACCGUGGAACUGCUGGGUAUACUGCGGGUCUUGAGCCACCUAGGGGCGAGCGGAACAAGUGGUGGAGCGGUGAAAUGCGUAGAUAUCACUUGGAACGCCAAUGGUGAAAACAGCUCGCUGGGGGUGUGCUGACGCUGAGACACGAAAGCCAGGGGAGCAAACGGG
rnacentral:rRNA from 1 species